AAUCGCUAGUAAUCGCGGAUCAGAAUGCCGCGGUGAAUACGUUCCCGGGUCUUGUACACACCGCCCGUCACACCAUGGGAGUCGAUAACGCCCGAAGUCAGUGACCCAACCGAAAGGAGGGAGCUGCCGAAGGCGGGAUGGAUAACUGGGGUGAAGUCGUAACAAGGUAGC
rnacentral:rRNA from 1 species